rnacentral:tRNA from 1 species
UGGAAGAAGAGCAAGGUGGCUUAAGGCAUUGGUUUGCUAAAUCGAAAUGGAGAUGGGGUUCAAAUCCCCGUCUUUGAA